rnacentral:rRNA from 1 species
UACGGGGGGGGCAAGCGUUGUUCGGAAUUACUGGGCGUAAAGGGCUCGUAGGCGGCCAACUAAGUCAGACGUGAAAUCCCUCGGCUUAACCGGGGAACUGCGUCUGAUACUGGAUGGCUUGAGUUUGGGAGAGGGAUGCGGAAUUCCAGGUGUAGCGGUGAAAUGCGUAGAUAUCUGGAGGAACACCGGUGGCGAAGGCGGUAUCCUGGACCAACACUGACGCUGAGGAGCGAAAGCCAGGGGAGCAAACGGG